CCUACGGGCGGCAGCAGUGGGGAAUAUUGCGCAAUGGGCGAAAGCCUGACGCAGCGACGCCGCGGGAGGGAUGAAGGUCUUCGGAGCGUAAACCUCUGUCAGCAGGGAAGAACGGUCACGGUGCUAAGCAGCAGUGAAUUGACGGUACCGGCAAAGGAAGCACCGGCUAACUCCGUGCCAGCAGCCGCGGUAAUACGGAGGGUGCGAGCGUUAAGCGGAAUUACUGGGCGUAAAGCGCUCGUAGGCGGUAUGUCAAGGCAAGGGUGAAAUCCCCGCGCUCCACGUGGGAACGGCCUUUGAAACUGGCAACCUGUAGUGUGUGCGAGGCUCGUGUCAUUCCCGUUGUAGGCGUGCCAUCCGUAGCUCUCUGGCGGAACCUCAGUGGCGCAGGCGACUCUCUGGCCCAUAACUGCCGCUG
rnacentral:rRNA from 1 species